rnacentral:rRNA from 1 species
UACAGAGGUCCCGAGCGUUGUUCGGAUUUAUUGGGCGUAAAGGGUGCGUAGGCGGCGGAGUAAGUUGGGUGUGAAAUCCCGAGGCUCAACCUCGGAAUUGCAUUCAAUACUGCUUCGCUCGAGUACUGGAGAGGAGGCUGGAAUUUACGGUGUAGCAGUGAAAUGCGUAGAUAUCGUAAGGAAGGCCGGUGGCGAAAGCGAGCCUCUGGACAGUUACUGACGCUGAGACGCGAAAGCGUGGGGAGCAAACAGG